UUAAGCGACUAAGCGUACACGGUGGAUGCCCUGGCAGUCAGAGGCGAUGAAGGACGUGCUAAUCUGCGAAAAGCGUCGGUAAGGUGAUAUGAACCGUUAUAGCCGGCGAUGUCCGAAUGGGGAAACCCAGUGCAAUUCGUUGCACUAUCGUUUGAUGAAUACAUAGUCAAACGAGGCGAACCGGGGGAACUGAAACAUCUAAGUACCCCGAGGAAAAGAAAUCAACCGAGAUUCCCCCAGUAGCGGCGAGCGAACGGGGAGCAGCCCGGAGUCUGAAUCAGCUUGUGUGUUAGUGGAAGCGUCUGGAAAGUCGCAGGGUACAGGGUGAUACUCCCGUACACUAAAAUGCACAGGUUGUGAACUCGAAGAGUAGGGCGGGACACGUGGUAUCCUGUCUGAAUAUGGGGGGACCAUCCUCCAAGGCUAAAUACUCCUGACUGACCGAUAGUGAACCAGUACCGUGAGGGAAAGGCGAAAAGAACCCCGGCGAGGGGAGUGAAAAAGAACCUGAAACCGUGUACGUACAAGCAGUAGGAGCCCACUUGUUGGGUGACUGCGUACCUUUUGUAUAAUGGGUCAGCGACUUAUAUUCUGUAGCAAGGUUAACCGUAUAGGGGAGCCGCAGGGAAACCGAGUCUUAACUGGGCGUUAAGUUGCAGGGUAUAGACCCGAAACCCGGUGAUCUAGCCAUGGGCAGGUUGAAGGUUGGGUAACACUAACUGGAGGACCGAACCGACUAAUGUUGAAAAAUUAGCGGAUGACUUGUGGCUGGGGGUGAAAGGCCAAUCAAACCGGGAGAUAGCUGGUUCUCCCCGAAAGCUAUUUAGGUAGCGCCUCGUGAACUCAUCUUCGGGGGUAGAGCACUGUUUCGGCUAGGGGGUCAUCCCGACUUACCAACCCGAUGCAAACUACGAAUACCGAAGAAUGUUAUCACGGGAGACACACGGCGGGUGCUAACGUCCGUCGUGAAGAGGGAAACAACCCAGACCGCCAGCUAAGGUCCCAAAGUCAUGGUUAAGUGGGAAACGAUGUGGGAAGGCCCAGACAGCCAGGAUGUUGGCUUAGAAGCAGCCAUCAUUUAAAGAAAGCGUAAUAGCUCACUGGUCGAGUCGGCCUGCGCGGAAGAUGUAACGGGGCUAAACCAUGCACCGAAGCUGCGGCAGCGACGCUUAUGCGUUGUUGGGUAGGGGAGCGUUCUGUAAGCCGUUGAAGGUGGCCUGUGAGGGUUGCUGGAGGUAUCAGAAGUGCGAAUGCUGACAUAAGUAACGAUAAUGCGGGUGAAAAACCCGCACGCCGGAAGACCAAGGGUUCCUGUCCAACGUUAAUCGGGGCAGGGUGAGUCGACCCCUAAGGCGAGGCCGAAAGGCGUAGUCGAUGGGAAACAGGUUAAUAUUCCUGUACUCGGUGUUACUGCGAAGGGGGGACGGAGAAGGCUAUGUUGGCCGGGCGACGGUUGUCCCGGUUUAAGCAUGUAGGCGGAUGUUCCAGGUAAAUCCGGAACGUUAUUAACGCUGAGGUGUGAUGACGAGGCACUACGGUGCUGAAGUGACAAAUGCCCUGCUUCCAGGAAAAGCCUCUAAGCAUCAGGUAACAUCAAAUCGUACCCCAAACCGACACAGGUGGUCAGGUAGAGAAUACCAAGGCGCUUGAGAGAACUCGGGUGAAGGAACUAGGCAAAAUGGUGCCGUAACUUCGGGAGAAGGCACGCUGAUGGUAAGUGAAGUGACUUGCUCAUGGAGCUGAAAUCAGUCGAAGAUACCAGCUGGCUGCAACUGUUUAUUAAAAACACAGCACUGUGCAAACACGAAAGUGGACGUAUACGGUGUGACGCCUGCCCGGUGCCGGAAGGUUAAUUGAUGGGGUUAUCCGUAAGGAGAAGCUCUUGAUCGAAGCCCCGGUAAACGGCGGCCGUAACUAUAACGGUCCUAAGGUAGCGAAAUUCCUUGUCGGGUAAGUUCCGACCUGCACGAAUGGCGUAAUGAUGGCCAGGCUGUCUCCACCCGAGACUCAGUGAAAUUGAACUCGCUGUGAAGAUGCAGUGUACCCGCGGCAAGACGGAAAGACCCCGUGAACCUUUACUAUAGCUUGACACUGAACACUGGUCCUUGAUGUGUAGGAUAGGUGGGAGGCUUUGAAGUGUGGACGCCAGUCUGCAUGGAGCCAUCCUUGAAAUACCACCCUUUAAUGGCUGGUGUUCUAACGUGGGCCCGUAAUCCGGGUUGCGGACAGUGUCUGGUGGGUAGUUUGACUGGGGCGGUCUCCUCCUAAAGAGUAACGGAGGAGCACGAAGGUCAGCUAAUCCUGGUCGGACAUCAGGAGGUUAGUGCAAUGGCAUAAGCUGGCUUGACUGCGAGCGUGACGGCGCGAGCAGGUGCGAAAGCAGGUCAUAGUGAUCCGGUGGUUCUGAAUGGAAGGGCCAUCGCUCAACGGAUAAAAGGUACUCCGGGGAUAACAGGCUGAUACCGCCCAAGAGUUCAUAUCGACGGCGGUGUUUGGCACCUCGAUGUCGGCUCAUCACAUCCUGGGGCUGAAGUAGGUCCCAAGGGUAUGGCUGUUCGCCAUUUAAAGUGGUACGCGAGCUGGGUUUAGAACGUCGUGAGACAGUUCGGUCCCUAUCUGCCGUGGGCGCUGGAGAAUUGAGGGGGGCUGCUCCUAGUACGAGAGGACCGGAGUGGACGCAUCACUGGUGUUCGGGUUGUCAUGCCAAUGGCAUUGCCCGGUAGCUAAAUGCGGAAGAGAUAAGUGCUGAAAGCAUCUAAGCACGAAACUUGCCCCGAGAUGAGUUCUCCCUGACUCCUUGAGAGUCCUGAAGGAACGUUGAAGACGACGACGUUGAUAGGCCGGGUGUGUAAGCGCAGCGAUGCGUUGAGCUAACCGGUACUAAUGAACCGUGAGGCUUAACCUU
rnacentral:rRNA from 2 species